rnacentral:rRNA from 1 species
AGCGAGAGAGAGCUUGCUUUCUCGAGCGAGUGGCGAACGGGUGAGUAACGCGUGAGGAACCUGCCUCAAAGAGGGGGACAACAGUUGGAAACGACUGCUAAUACCGCAUAAGCCCACGGGUCGGCAUCGACCAGAGGGAAAAGGAGCAAUCCGCUUUGAGAUGGCCUCGCGUCCGAUUAGCUAGUUGGUGAGGUAAUGGCCCACCAAGGCGACGAUCGGUAGCCGGACUGAGAGGUUGAACGGCCACAUUGGGACUGAGACACGGCCCAGACUCCUACGGGAGGCAGCAGUGGGGAAUAUUGCACAAUGGGGGAAACCCUGAUGCAGCGACGCCGCGUGGAGGAAGAAGGUCUUCGGAUUGUAAACUCCUGUUGUUGGGGAAGAUAAUGACGGUACCCAACAAGGAAGUGACGGCUAACUACGUGCCAGCAGCCGCGGUAAAACGUAGGUCACAAGCGUUGUCCGGAAUUACUGGGUGUAAAGGGAGCGCAGGCGGGAAGACAAGUUGGAAGUGAAAUCUAUGGGCUCAACCCAUAAACUGCUUUCAAAACUGUUUUUCUUGAGUAGUGCAGAGGUAGGCGGAAUUCCCGGUGUAGCGGUGGAAUGCGUAGAUAUCGGGAGGAACACCAGUGGCGAAGGCGGCCUACUGGGCACCAACUGACGCUGAGGCUCGAAAGUGUGGGUAGCAAACAGGAUUAGAUACCCUGGUAGUCCACACCGUAAACGAUGAUUACUAGGUGUUGGAGGAUUGACCCCUUCAGUGCCGCAGUUAACACAAUAAGUAAUC